CAUUGUGAUUUAUAAUAAGAUAUUUAUAUUUGGUUUUCAUCUCAUUCCUGACAGGGAGCUCCAAAACCCUAGUAAUUCCCUGUGAAGAGAGCAAUAAAGGUGUCUUUUGUUAUGUUGACGAUUGACUUCCUGAAGCCCUUAGGUAACCUGAGGAUUGGGGGCUGCUGAUCCGAGGGAUGGGAUUGAAAGUUCCCAAUUUCCAGGGAGGGCAGAGGAGCUGGAGAUUGACUUCGAUCAAAAGAAGCCAAUGAGUUAUACCGAUCAUGUGUUUGUAAUGAAGCUUCCCUAAUAACCUAAAAGGACUCUGUUUGAAGAGCUUCUGGGUUGGUGAACACUCGGAGACUCUGGGAAUGCGCUCAGAGAGAACAUGGAAGUCACAUGCCUCUUCGCACAUGCCUUGCCCUAGGUGUCUCUUCCGUCUGACUGUUCCUGCGUUCUAGCCUUUUAUAAUACACAGGUGAUCUGGUGAGUAAAAUAUUUCUCUGCGUUCGGUGAGCUGCUCUAGCAAAUUAAUCAAUUUGAGUCAGUCAGAAGCACAGGUGACAACCGGACUUAAAAUCAGCAUCUGAAGUGGGAGGCGGGGGCAGGGAUGGAAGUUUUGUAGGACUGAAUCCUUAACCGGUGGGAUCUGAUGCUCCCUCCAGGUAGACAGUAUGAGAAUUGAGUUGAACUGGACAGCGCUCUAGUAUCAGAGAAUUGCUUGGCGGCAUGGAAAAGGAAUACAUACAUCAAAACUGGGCUCUAAAUCAUCGAGGCUGGGAGAUAUCUGAUAGAGGUCAGGAGGUUUUAAUGUGACCAUGGAGGCAGAGAUCAGAGUAAUACAAUCUCAAGUCCAGAAAUGCAGGCAGCAACCAGAAGCUGAAGAGGCAAGAAACAACCUUUCCCAGAGCCUCCGGAGGGAGUGAUGCCCUGCUGACACCUUGCUUUCUGCUCAGUGAUACUGAUUUUGGACUUCUGGCCUCCAGAACUAGGAACCACAAGAUCAGCUCCAGACUCCCCACUUGGCUUCUCCGUGGGCAAUAAGGCAGAGGUUUCAUCACCGUUGUCCAAACGGCAAAUGAGAAGUGAUGGUUUGAGUAUAAGGUACCGUCUGGAAAACAAGAGAAAGAGGCAAAGCUUCUGACAGAGCUGUUCACACCUCCUCCGCACAGCUGGGAGACAUUAGCUGGCUUUCCCCAGACUGGUCUGCUUUCUGGCACGACCCUCACAGCCAAGUGCUGUCACUCCAAACUCUGACUAAAGCAGAGGGUGAAAGAACAUUAACUAUCUCAUUCUGUGCACACACGUGAACACAGGCGGAAGUUCCAGGAGCUUUUUACCAGUCUUAUGACCCUCAUGUUGACU